rnacentral:lncRNA from 1 species
AUGCCACGAAGCUAUUUUUACCGGCCAACGGCUCGCGUUGAAGAAAUACCCCCUUUUCACCGAAAAAUAAGCAGCGGACCAGAAGUAUCUGAAGGGCAAGCCCCAGGAACGGACACUGUCCCUAUACCGUAUACAGCGAGUUCCAGCCUGCUCCAGCUUCACACCCACAGCCCAACCCCUUCUCCUUCCUCGCCUGUCUCUGUGCCAGAUAAAACAAAUCCCGCUUUAAUGGAGUGCAGGGGUGAUCAAACCCCACCUGCAGAGGAUGAGGACAAGGAUGAAGAGGAAGGUGAGGAGGGUUGCUUGGCAGCUGUUUCCCUGGCUGCAGGGAGCACGAGCCCCCACAAACAUGAUGCUCGAAAGAAAGGUGGGAAGAGCAGAGAUGUAGCACGUGGCCCAUCUCCAGCUGAGUCCCAUCUCACCUCCAGGAGUUGCUGCUUCACAGGAAAGCAGGAAUCUCCCAGGGGAGUUUAGCCUUCAGGGCGAUGUGUGGCUCCACAUCUGCCCUACCCUGGUACUUUCUCCAUGCCAAGUGCCACAGCCACUGGCACAAUUACACAGCUGAGCUGAGAGGAGGGCUAAAAAUAACAGGCAGGAGACCUAUAGUAUUUCAAAACACUUCAGUGACAAUCACAAAUUAUGAUUAAUGAUGUUCCUGCUGUGAAACAAUUUCCAAAGAUGAGUGUCUUAAAUUACUGGACAGGCCAAUGUUUGGAUGUAGGCCCCUAACAGAAAGCCUCAAGUCAAUAAAAGAAGCAACCUCACUACUCA